rnacentral:rRNA from 1 species
GAUGAACGCUGGCGGCGUGCCUAAUACAUGCAAGUCGAGCGAACGGACGAGAAGCUUGCUUCUCUGAUGUUAGCGGCGGACGGGUGAGUAACACGUGGAUAACCUACCUAUAAGACUGGGAUAACUUCGGGAAACCGGAGCUAAUACCGGAUAAUAUUUUGAACCGCAUGGUUCAAAAGUGAAAGACGGUCUUGCUGUCACUUAUAGAUGGAUCCGCGCUGCAUUAGCUAGUUGGUAAGGUAACGGCUUACCAAGGCAACGAUGCAUAGCCGACCUGAGAGGGUGAUCGGCCACACUGGAACUGAGACACAGUCCAGACUCCUACGGGAGGCAGCAGUAGGGAAUCUUCCGCAAUGGGCGAAAGCCUGACGGAGCAACGCCGCGUGAGUGAUGAAGGUCUUCGGAUCGUAAAACUCUGUUAUUAGGGAAGAACAUAUGUGUAAGUAACUGUGCACAUCUGGACGGUACCUAAUCAGAAAGCCACGGCUAACUACGU